rnacentral:lncRNA from 13 species
UGAGGGGUGACCAGUCCUCUACUGGCUGUACUGGGUAGAGAGGAACCAGGCUCUGAGGGGUGACCAGUCCUCUACUGGGUAGAGAGGAACCAGGCUCUGAGGGGUGACCAGUCCUCUACUGGGUAGAGAGGAACCAGGCUCUGAGGGAUGACCAGUCCUCUACUGGCUGUACUGGGUAGACCAGAGGAACCAGGCUCUGAGGGGUGACCAAUCCUCUACUGGCUGUACUGGGUUAUGUAAUAACAUGAUGGUUUUAAGUGUCAACAUGUCUUCUAACUGAUAAUCUGUUUUCUACAGUAUAUAACUCUACAUCUAACCUGACUAGUAAUGUCCUCUUGUUCUACAGUAUAUAACUCUACAUCUAACCUGACUAGUAAUGUCCUCUUGUUCUACAGUAUAUAACUCGAUUCAGUUUUCAGGAGAGUUUGACCUUUUUAGAACAUGUCUGACCCCCAGGGUAGGUCCUCAGGUCCUCUGAGAGAAUGUCAUGUCUUUAAGGUUCGCUCACCAACUUGUAUGCUCUGACUGACUAUCUGUUCUUGUCCUCAGGGGGAGCUGAUGACAGGACGUCAUCAGAGAACCAAAAGUCUGAGGGGAUUGAAGAGAUGGAGAUGGAUACUGCCUGAUCGGGCGAUGCUCGGCGGUCGUUGUUUCCGGCCUACUAGCCGCCGCAGAUCUCGUU